rnacentral:tRNA from 1 species
GGAGCCGUGCCUGAAAUAAAGGACCACUUUGAUAGAGUGAAUAAUGGGGGUUAAAGUCCCCCCGACUCC